GACGAACGCUGGCGGCGUGCUUAACACAUGCAAGUCGAACGGAAAGGCCCUGCUUUUGGGGGGUGCUCGAGUGGCGAAAGGGUGAGUAACACGUGAGUAACCUGCCCUUGACUUUGGGAUAACUUCAGGAAACGGGGGCUAAUACCGGAUAGGAGCUCCUGCUGCAUGGUGGGGGUGGGAAGGUUUCGGCGGUUGGGGAUGGACUCGCGGCUGAUCAGCUUGUUGGUGGGGUAGUGGCUUACCGAGGCUUUGACGGGUAGCCGGCCUGAGAGGGUGACCGGCCACAGUGGGACUGAGAGACGGCCCAGACUCCUACGGGAGGCAGCAGUGGGGAAUAUUGCACAAUGGGCGGAAGCGUGAGGGAGCAGCGCCGCGUGCGGGAUGACGGCCUUCGGGUUGUAAACCGCGUUCGCGUGUGACGAAGCGUGAGUGACGGUAAUGGGUAAAGAAGCACCGGCUAACUACGUG
rnacentral:rRNA from 1 species